rnacentral:rRNA from 1 species
UACGGGGGGAGCAAGCGUUGUUCGGAUUUACUGGGCGUAAAGGGCGCGUAGGCGGCCACCGCAAGUCGAUUGUGAAAUCUCCGGGCUUAACCCGGAAAGGUCAACCGAUACUGCGGGGCUAGAGUGCGGAAGGGGCAACUGGAAUUCUUGGUGUAGCGGUGAAAUGCGUAGAUAUCAAGAGGAACACCUGCGGCGAAGGCGGGUUGCUGGGCCGACACUGACGCUGAGGCGCGAAAGCUAGGGGAGCGAACGG